CCCUUAGAUGUUCUGGGCCGCACGCGCGCUACACUGAUGCGUUCAACAAGUUUCCUUGGCCGAGAGGCCUGGGCAAUCUUCUUAAUAUGUAUCGUGAUAGGGAUAGAUUAUUGCAAUUAUUAAUCUUGAACGAGGAAUUCCUAGUAAACGCAGAUCAUCAAUCUGCAUUGAUUACGUCCCUGCCCUUUGUACACACCGCCCGUUGCACCUACCGAUUGGAUGUUCCGGUGAAGCCUCGGGAUGAGGACUGGUGCCUUUAUUGGCAUGAGUUGUUCAGAACUUGUCUAAACCUUAUCAUCUAGAGGAAGGUGAAGUCGUAACA
rnacentral:rRNA from 1 species